rnacentral:rRNA from 1 species
AGCAGCCGCGGUAAUUCCAGCUCCAAUAGCGUAUAUUAAAGUUGUUGCAGUUAAAAAGCUCGUAGUUGAAUUUCGGGAUCAAUACGUCGGUCGUGCUUCGGUACGUACUGGCGUAAUUGAUUUCUCCCUUCUGACGAACCAUGAUGUCAUUAACUUGGUGUCAUGGGAAAUCAGGACUGCUACUUUGAAAAAAUUAGAGUGUUUAAAGCAAGCUAACGCUUGAAUACAUUAGCAUGGAAUAAUGAAAUAGGACGUUCGAUCCUAUUUGUUGGUUUCUAGGAUUGACGUAAUGAUUAAUAGGGAUAGUUGGGGGCAUUAGUAUUCAAUUGUCAGAGGUGAAAUUCUUGGAUUUAUUGAAGACUAACUACUGCGAAAGCAUUUGCCAAGGAUGUUUUCAUUAAUCAAGAACGAAAGUUAAGGGGAUCGAAGACGAUC